rnacentral:rRNA from 1 species
GAUGAACGCUGGCGGCGUGCCUAAUACAUGCAAGUCGAGCGAACGGACGAGAAGCUUGCUUCUCUGGUGUUAGCGGCGGACGGGUGAGUAACACGUGGAUAACCUACCUAUAAGACUGGGAUAACUUCGGGAAACCGGAGCUAAUACCGGAUGAUGUUUUGAACCGCAUGGUUCAAAAGUGAAAGACGGUCUUGCUGUCACUUAUAGAUGGAUCCGCGCUGCAUUAGCUAGUUGGUAAGGUAACGGCUUACCAAGGCAACGAUGCAUAGCCGACCUGAGAGGGUGAUCGGCCACACUGGAACUGAGACACGGUCCAGACUCCUACGGGAGGCAGCAGUAGGGAAUCUUCCGCAAUGGGCGAAAGCCUGACGGAGCAACGCCGCGUGAGUGAUGAAGGUCUUCGGAUCGUAAAACUCUGUUAUUAGGGAAGAACAUAUGUGUAAGUAACUGUGCACAUCUUGACGGUACCUAAUCAGAAAGCCACGGCUAACUACGUG